rnacentral:sRNA from 1 species
UCAACCGUUGAAGUGAACAUAAUCGUACCGAGCUUUUUGAAUUUAAUUAAGCAGUUUAAAGCGCCAGAAAUCCGAGCUCUGGUCUAUAGAAAAAUGUAAUUAUACCAAAUGGUGUAACAUUAACGAAAACGUGCCAUGAAAGGCGUAUUGGGCACUGGAACCCAGGCUCAUUUCUAAGCUGUGUCUUUGUGGCUGAGUUGUAGAGAGUGUGGUCCAAAACGGUAAUGACAACGGGGCAAGGAUCGGGCGACGGGAUAGGCGCUGGGCAAUGGCACGAAACGAACUCUUCGCCAAAGUGCUUUAUAUAUGGUAUUUUGUAUUUGGUUUGGAGUCUGUGGACUGGGGGCGGGAUGGUGUGGCGUGAUAACACCUAAAUUAUUUUUUCAAAGGAUUAAAUUAAAUUCUAUUUGGUUUCGAAAAAACGGAAUAUGCCCAGUGUCUGUGUGUGUGUGUGUGUGUGUGUGAGCGUGUGCGUGAGUGUAUAUGUGUGAGUGCCUAUCUGUGGGGCUGCAUACAGCGCUGAGGCGGGGCGCUGUUCUCUGGCGAUGCUGUUCUGAUACCCUGUACAUUUUAUUUGUCCACAAAGGGGCUUACUAAUUUCCAAUCAUAUAAAAUGU